AAGUAACUAAAGAAUCACAAAAGAAGUGAAUAUGCCCUGCCCCACCUUAACUGAUGACAUUCCACCACAAAAGAAGUGUAAAUGGCCGGUCCUUGCCUUAACUGAUGACAUUACCUUGUGAAAGUCCUUUUCCUGGCUCAUCCUGGCUCAAAAAGCACCCCCCACUGAGCACCUUGCAACCCCCACUCCUGCCCACUGAGCACCUAGUGACCCCCACUCCUACCCGCCAGAGAACAAACCCCCUUUGACUGUAAUUUUCCUUUACCUACCCAAAUCCUAUAAAACGGCCCCACCCUUAUCGCCCUUCGCUGACUCUUUUCAGACUCAGCCCGCCUGCACCCAGGUGAAAUAAACAGCCGUGUUGCUCACACAAAGCCUGUUUGGUGGUCUCUUCACACGGACACGCAUGAAAUUUGGUGCUGUGACUCGGAUCGGGGGACCUCCCUUGGGAGAUCAAUUCCCUGUCCUCCUGCUCUUUGCUCCGUGAGAAAGAUCCACCUACGACCUCAGGUCCUCAGACCGACCAGCCCAAGAAACAUCUCACCAAUUUCAAAUCUGAGUCAAAGGAGGAGCAGAUCACAGACAUGAAGCCCAUCUCAUCACUGAGUAAAGAUGAAGACCAUGCCAGGUUGGUCAUGGCCAUGAAUGUUUGCCAGCAAUACCACCAUGAACAAGGGCUGGAGAAUACACCUGCAAUUCAAACCAUUCUUGAUUUAGCUCAUAUGAAACGUAUGUGAAAAUGGUUAAAAAUGCCAUUUCUUUUUUUUUUUUUUUUUUUUUGAGACAGGAUCUCACUCUGGCCUAGGCUGGAGUGAAGUGGUGCCAUGAUAGUUCACUGUAAACUCGAACUUCUGGGCUUAAGUAAUCCUCCUGCUUCAGCCUCCUGAGUAACUAGAACUAUAUGAACGUGCCAACAUGCCCAGCUAAUUUAAAAUUUUUUUGUGGAGACAGGGUCUAGCUAUAUUGCCACACUAGUCUAGAACUCCUGGCCUCAAGUGAUUCUCUGGCCUCAGCCUUCCAAAGUGCUGAAAUUAUAGGCAUGAACCACUGCCCCUGGCCAAAAAUGUAAUUUCCAAAGGGCAUUUGUAAAACAUUGAUAAUAUUACCAUGAUGUAACCAAAAUGUAAUUAUCCAAAUUAAAUGAGAAACAGUAAGAUAUUACUUCUUUUUCAGCUUUUGCAUAUCCAAAUAUACUUUAUGGUGGCUCAUAUAUACAUGUAUUUAUAUCUAGACAUUAAGAACUAGAGUUUAAUUAUUAUAAUACUUCUUCUUUGACACCAACAAUGUGAAGUGGUCAGGGGGUCAUUGCGUUUUCUUUGUAAAAUGAAAAUGCUUAGAAAAGAUAUUAUGGAAAUGUUCACAGGAUACUUCCUUCGGAAAGCAAUAAAAACGACAUCAAAUCUCC